AAUCCCUGGGGGCUUGCUCUCAGGGGGAAGUGGCGAAAGGGGCAGUAAUGCAUGGGUAACCUACCCCGGGGACCGGUAUAGCCUUCCUAACGGAUGGGUAAUCCCGGGUAAUAUCAGCGAGGCGCAUGUCCUGCUGAUGAGAUGAAUCUCGCCUCGGGAGGGGCUCAUGUCGUAUUAGCUUGUUGGCGGGGUAACGGCCCACCAAGGCGAAGAUGCGUAGCGGGUGUGAGAGCACGACCCGCGCCACUGGCACUGAGACACUGGCCAGACACCUACGGGUGGCUGCAGUCGAGGAUCUUCGGCAAUGGGCGCAAGCCUGACCGAGCGACGCCGCGUGCGCGAUGAAGGCCUUCGGGUUGUAAAGCGCUGUCGUGGGGGGAGGAAGGCCCGUAAGGGCUUGACCUAUCCCAGGAGGAAGCACGGGCUAAGUUCGUGCCAGCAGCCGCGGUAAGACGAACCGUGCGAACGUUGUUCGGAAUCACUGGGCUUAAAGGGCGCGUAGGCGGGCGAGCAAGUUCGGGGUGAAAUCUUUCGGCUCAACCGGAAAAGGGCCUCGGAGACUGCUCGUCUGGAGGGAGGUAGGGGCAGGUGGAACUGCUGGUGGAGCGGUGAAAUGCGUUGAUAUCAGCAGGAACGCCGGUGGCGAAAGCGACCUGCUGGACCUCUUCUGACGCUGAGGCGCGAAAGCUAGGGGAGCAAACGGGAUUAGAUACCCCGGUAGUCCUAGCCCUAAACGAUGGGUACUGGGUUGUGGACCAGACAUGGGUUCACA
rnacentral:rRNA from 1 species